GGGCGGCGGCAGUUUGGGGCAGCUCAGGGCGGCGGCGGUUCGCGGCAGUUGGGGGCUGCCGCGGCUCGCGGCAGUUCGGGGCUGCCCACUCCCUCCC